rnacentral:rRNA from 2 species
ACGAGUUCUCGUUGAUGAUCGGUGCUUGCACCGAGAUUCAACAUGGAACGAGUGGCGGACGGGUGAGUAACACGUGGGUAACCUGCCCUUAAGUGGGGGAUAACAUUUGGAAACAGAUGCUAAUACCGCAUAGAUCCAAGAACCGCAUGGUUCUUGGCAGAAAGAUGGCGUAAGCUAUCGCUUUUGGAUGGACCCGCGGCGUAUUAGCUAGUUGGUGAGGUAAUGGCUCACCAAGGCGAUGAUACGUAGCCGAACUGAGAGGUUGAUCGGCCACAUUGGGACUGAGACACGGCCCAAACUCAUACGGGAGGCAGCAGUAGGGAAUCUUCCACAAUGGACGCAAGUCUGAUGGAGCAACGCCGCGUGAGUGAAGAAGGCUUUCGGGUCGUAAAACUCUGUUGUUGGAGAAGAAUGGUCGGCAGAGUAACUGUUGUCGGCGUGACGGUAUCCAACCAGAAAGCCACGGCUAACUACGUGCCAGCAGCCGCGGUAAUACGUAGGUGGCAAGCGUUAUCCGGAUUUAUUGGGCGUAAAGCGAGCGCAGGCGGUUUUUUAAGUCUGAUGUGAAAGCCCUCGGCUUAACCGAGGAAGCGCAUCGGAAACUGGGAAACUUGAGUGCAGAAGAGGACAGUGGAACUCCAU